AAGGGAACAUCGCCGUUUGGAAAGUGUCGUGAUAUGAUACACAAGUUGUGCUGCCUCUGUGGCUCUAAGGCAUACCACCUUCAGAAGUCAACCUGUGGCAAAUGUGGCUCCCCUGCCAAGCGCAAGAGAAAGUGUAACUGGACUGCCACGGCUAAAAGAAAAUACCACGGCGACUGGUUGAAUGAAGCACCUAAACAUUGUAUACUGCAGAUUUAGGCAUGGAUUCUUUGCAGGAACAACACCUACACCCAAGAGGGCAGCAGUUGUGUCAUCCAGUUCAUCU
rnacentral:lncRNA from 1 species